GUGUGAACCUUUAUUUGUUAUCUUGAGAAAUGAACUUCUUCCCAUUGAAGGGGUUUCCCUGAGAGCCAGCAAUGACCUUUGACAAACUAUUUGCUGCUCAGCAGAGAAUGGCUAGAAGGCAGGAACAUUCAGAACCCCUUCCAUUCAGAGAACUGAAGCGACAGAAAGAUGAAACGUAUCCAGUUUUUUAAAUAACACACAGGUACGCUCCAACUGGAAAGCCGCACUUCUUUAACAAGGUCCAAAAACAAAAGUGUCAACUUGCUCUACUCCCCAGUACCCUUCUUACUAAGGCUGCAUCCCCUUAGGAUUUCCUUUGGGAACCACUGGUAGGGUCCAGUCAUUAACCCUUGGCAGUUGGGAGUCUUUGUUGGCUGCUAGAAUCAGUAAUAUGGGGGUGGGGGGAAGGGCAGGAAAGGCCUUUUGUUUCCAUCAUUAUUUAGAAGGAAUUCCAGGCCUGUCCUGAAAUGUCGGGCCGACCUUGCUUCCGAGGCCCAUGAAAAGGAGUUACAAAUUAAUUGUGUGAUUGAGGAAGUCUCCCAAAGAGCAUGUCCAGCCCUUGUUUCUGCUGGUUGGCUGUCACCAUAGAAACGUCUUCCUCCAGCCCAAAGUCCAGCGCUGUAAAUCUUUAUGAUCCUGUUCAGAGUCCGUGAGGCUAACCCAUCCUCCCGAGAGCCCGGUUUUAUAUUCGACGCGACAUAUCCGAGGCCAUUUCUACACAGGGGACUUCAGAUGAGUAGGUACGAACGUCUCAUAGAAAGAGCUUUCCUUUUUCAUCCCAGGACCCUUGUUUUCCAGAGAACAUGCCCACGGUGAAGAAGACAUUGAUGUUCUUCUCCAGCUUUGUCACCAGCUUGGGGGCUUUCGUGGUCAUUUCAUCCAUCCUUGCCACUCAAGAAUGGAUCCGCAGUACAAUUGCCAUUCGCGACUCUUCUUCAAACGGGAGUGUGAUCAUCACCUACGGACUCCUUCGUGGGAAGAGUGUUCAAGAACUGAAUCACGGACUUGCAGAAUCAGACAAGAGUUUUGAAGUUUUAGGGACACUGAGCAGUUCUUCCCAGAAGACCCUGCACACGGUGGUCCUCGUCUUCCUGGUCCUCAGCUUGCUCACGUCGCUGCUGAGCGCCGGCCUGACCCUCUACAACAGCAUCAGCAACCCCUACCAGACCUUCCUGGGACCCAGCGGCGUGUACACGUGGAGCGGGCUCUGCGCCGCCUUCAUCUUCAUAACGUUGCUGCUCUUUGUGGGGAACACACAGUCCAACCACCUGUCGGAGCAGCUGGCCCAGAAGCUCUACCCGACGUAUCCCGCCUCCACUCACCAGGGAACCUCCCACAGCUACGGGUACUCGUUCUGGCUCGUGCUGCUCGUCAUCCUUCUCAACGUGGCCAGCGUGGUUGUCAUCAUCUUCUACCAGAAGGCCAGGUACCAGCGGAAGCAGGAGCAGAGGAAGCCCAUGGAAUACGCCCCCAGGGACGGAAUCUUGUUCUGAGCUCGGGAUGCUCACUGGGUCACUGGGGCGAUUCUGCGGCACGUCGGCUCCCCGAGCCGGGAGGGGCUCACGAGUCCGGAUCUCCAGCAGGGAGAGGGCAUCCCCGACUGACUGUCAUUCUGUGACCCUUGCCGUCGUUCGUGACGCGAUGUUCUUCAUCAGUGAGGUUUGAAUUUUAUAUCGGAUGUGGAUAAUGCGGACAAAUAACAAAGAGGAAACACACGAGGGUGGCAGGUUGGCCCUCGGGUCCCGGAUGAGCGCACAGGACCCUGGAGGAGGCGGAGACCACGUUUACCCAUCUCCGAAUCGGAGCCGAGCUGGGUUUCUCCAGAGGACAAACUAUCCUAAUCCUUAUUGGAAACGACCUUUGAGGAGCCCUUCAAAACACAGGCGUCAAGCCUUGGAGUGAAGACUUAAAACCCGGUCCAUAGUGGCCCAGCCUGACAUCUUCCUGCAGCCUGGCCCACCCAGGAUGCAGGUCCGGCGUGUGUGGGGCAAGAUGACUAGGAGCCAGGAGACUUUCUGAUUCUGCAAGUCCAGCUUGGAGAGAAGCCAGGCUCCCGAGGAGCUCUCCUGACCUGGGCACCCAGAGCCCCACACCCCAAAGGCCUUGGAUGCAGAGGUCGUCCAGCCAGGGGCACGGAGGGCUCACGCCUGCAGAGCAGCUGAAGUGGGAUCUGCUGCCUGGUCCCCCUACCCGGUCCUCAUCCGCAAAGCCCACCACCACCCAGGACACAGGGACACAGCUGGAGCUCCGUGCAUCAUGUGUUCAUUGCUGUGACAUCCCACAGAAGCCGCGAGAAGCUGGCAGUUACCACCCUCUCUGAGCUUCUGUUUUCUCAGGAUGAAAAAAUAAGUAACAGAUCAUAGAAAUGACAGCCGGUGUGGCUUCGAGCAGGGAAGCUCUGCUGCCAGGCUGCUCGGGGUGGGGACGUUAAUCUCAGCCGGCUUCGGGCUAAUCAUCUGUGAAAUGGGACCACAGGACCAGCCUUGGCUCUAGGGACAUGAGGAUGAAUCAUGACAAGGGGCGGAAAGGCCUUGGUACCCGAGGGCCAUUCCUUCUCCCAGAACGCUGAGCCUGCAGGGCGUGGUGGGAACUGGAAAAGCUGGAGGAGGCUGCCCCUUUCGCCACCACCUUAAUAGUUCUUUUGAUCUGUUGGGAGCAAGGAGCAACCGGAACACAGGGAGUUAAUACACGCGCCUGAGCAUCCAAAGCUGCCAAGCAGUGAAGUGGCUUGAAAAAUGGGUCUCUGGGCCCCUGUUCUUUUUGACCUGUGUUUGAUUCAGUUCCCCACGGCUGACAGCGAAGGCUGAGGGGGCACAGGGAGGAGAAGCCCAGAGGAAAGCGAGGCCCUCCCUGCGGGUGUUGCCCCGUGAUGCUCUCCCCCCUGUUUCAUGGCCUCUGUUCUCAUGGUGUGUCUGGGUCUGGCUCAUGCAGAACAAAAAGGAGUGGCUUGCUCAGGCAGCAGCACCCAGUUGGCUUCAAAUAAAUCCUUAGCCGGGCCAGGGAGGGUGGGGUCUCCCUGAAGUGAGCCUCCCACACAUGCCCCCGGGGAUGAGGUAGCAGGUCCCCGGACCCAAGGACUUUGUGCUCCUUAAAAUAGCCAGUGAGCUGGGUUACGCAUGGGGACCCUGGAUCACUGGGUUAUUAAAGCUGAACCCAAGGAGGAACUGAGACGGGAUGGGUGGGGAAGUUUGCCGAACAUUAGCCGCCCUGAGGGUGCCUGUCCAGGGGUGGACUUGUUCCCCACGCCCUUCCCUCUGUUCCCAUGCUGCCCAGACUCCGAAGUCAUGAGCGGUUAGAAUUCCAGACGUCCCAGUUACCAAAAAAAAAAAAAAAAAAAAAAAAGAAAGAAAAGAAAAAGAAAGGGAAAAAAAGGAAUUUAUAUCUGUGACAGACCUCAGACCACGAAACUUUCAUUUUCAAUAUGUUGAAAGAUUUAGUCAAGAAAUAAAAAUUUAGCUAGAAA